rnacentral:rRNA from 1 species
CGACGGAAGAUUACGGCGACGAGAUUUCGGUCAAAUCAAGUGCUAUCUUUAGUGGCGGACGGGUGAGUAACGCGUGGGUAACCUGCCAUAUACAGGGGGAUAACACUUAGAAAUAGGUGCUAAUACCGCAUAACAACAGAAAGCGCAUGCUUUUUGUUUGAAAACCAAGGUGGUAUGGGAUGGACCCGCGUCUGAUUAGCUGGUUGGCGGGGUAAAGGCCCACCAAGGCGACGAUCAGUAGCCGGCCUGAGAGGGUGGACGGCCACAUUGGGACUGAGACACGGCCCAAACUCCUACGGGAGGCAGCAGUGGGGAAUAUUGCACAAUGGGGGAAACCCUGAUGCAGCGACGCCGCGUGAGUGAAGAAGUAAUUCGUUAUGUAAAGCUCUAUCAGCAGGGAAGAAAAUGACGGUACCUGAGUAAGAAGCCCCGGCUAACUACGUGCCAGCAGCCGCGGUAAUACGUAGGGGGCAAGCGUUAUCCGGAUUUACUGGGUGUAAAGGGAGCGUAGACGGCAGUGCAAGUCUGGAGUGAAAGGCGGGGGCUCAACCCCCGGACUGCUCUGGAAACUGUACGGCUGGAGUGCAGGAGAGGUAAGUGGAAUUCCUAGUGUAGCGGUGAAAUGCGUAGAUAUUAGGAGGAACACCAGUGGCGAAGGCGGCUUACUGGACUGUAACUGACGUUGAGGCUCGAAAGCGUGGGGAGCAAACAGGAUUAGAUACCCUGGUAGUCCACGCCGUANACGAUGAAUAUUAGGUNUCGGUGAGCAAAGCUCAUCGGUGCCGCAGCAAACGCAAUAAAUAUUC